AUGGCUAAUUCUGAGACGAAAGAAAGGUCUAAAACCAAAGUUGGGAAAGGCAGAAGGAGGAGAUGGAUUUGGGAGACAAGGCAACAACAGAACCUAACAGCAUGCUGUGCAGAGGAUGAACAGGAGACACAAAUACUGAAGUUCAACUGUAAGUGGCUGAAAGAAUGCUACAAAUUAUUCAAUAAAAACAGGAGAGAGGAGGAAAUGUCUACAAAAAAAUUAAUAUUAGGUUUGUAGGUAAAAGACCUCUGGCACACCAAGUGGCUUCUGAGCCUGAAGUCUUCCAAUUCGGGGAUAACUAGCUACACCAUGGCUUGAGCUCAGAUCUUGUGACAUUUAUGGUCUGUGCCACUCCCAUAAUAUCACGUUGCCUAGAGUCAGAG
rnacentral:lncRNA from 1 species